GUCAUGACAGUAUGGAUAUAUUUAGUAUGCCAAAGUUCCCAGAUGUCAUAUUAAAUUCUCCAAAAUACAAAGUAUACACGCAGUGGACACUAUUUCUGUACUUCUAGGGCCCAUAAUGCAAUUCUUCAGAAAAUGGGCGUGACUUCACAACAUUUUCACAUUUGAAGAAAAUGGCAGAAAAUAAGUCCAAUGAGAGCAGAUAAAAAUGAAAGAGGCAUACGGCCGUGAAGGGGCUUGCGAGUACUGUCUGGAGGGGAAGGUGGCUGCAGCCUGGAUAAAGAAAAAAAAAUGGGAGAACCUCAAAGGCAUCUAAAAUGUCUCAAUAUCUACAUCAUGUCCCGGUU